GGAGUUGUGGCUCAGCAGCAGAGCACUUGCCUAGCAUGUAUGAAGCCCUGGGUUCAAUUCUCAGCACCG
rnacentral:tRNA from 1 species